CCUACGGGGGGCAGCAGUGGGGAAUAUUGGACAAUGGGGGCAACCCUGAUCCAGCCAUGCCGCGUGUGUGAAGAAGGCCCUCGGGUUGUAAAGCACUUUCAGUGAGGAAGAACGCCUGGUGGUUAAUACCCAUCAGGAAAGACAUCACUCACAGAAGAAGCACCGGCUAACUCCGUGCCAGCAGCCGCGGUAAUACGGAGGGUGCGAGCGUUAAUCGGAAUUACUGGGCGUAAAGCGCGCGUAGGUGGCUUGAUAAGCCGGUUGUGAAAGCCCCGGGCUCAACCCGGGAACGGCAUCCGGAACUGUCAAGCUAGAGUGCAGGAGAGGAAGGUAGAAUUCCCGGUGUAGCGGUGAAAUGCGUAGAGAUCGGGAGGAAUACCAGUGGCGAAGGCGGCCUUCUGGACUGACACUGACUCUGAGGUGCGAAAGCGUGGGUAGCAAACAGGAUUAGAUACCCUUGUAGUC
rnacentral:rRNA from 1 species